CAGUCGCCGCGGUAAUACGUAGGGUGCGAGCGUUAAUCGGAAUUACUGGGCGUAAAGCGUGCGCAGGCGGUUAUAUAAGACAGAUGUGAAAUCCCCGGGCUCAACCUGGGACCUGCAUUUGUGACUGUAUAGCUAGAGUACGGUAGAGGGGGAUGGAAUUCCGCGUGUAGCAGUGAAAUGCGUAGAUAUGCGGAGGAACACCGAUGGCGAAGGCAAUCCCCUGGACCUGUACUGACGCUCAUGCACGAAAGCGUGGGGAUCAAACAGGAUUAGAUACCCGCGUAGUCCCUGUCUCUUAUAC
rnacentral:rRNA from 1 species